rnacentral:ncRNA from 2 species
ACCUCAUCACGAGGAGUCGAGGGAUCUGGCCCGAUGACACUCCAGCAACCGUCUCGCUGAGAAAGGUGCUUCUUCCAGCAGCAAUCGCGCUGAUAGAUGAGUG